CGUACACUCGCUUGCUUGCUUGGUCGUUAGAUUGCUGAGUUGUCGGGGUUACUCGAACGGAAACAAUGUGUUACUAGUUUCGCUGGAUGAAAUUAGAGAAUUCAUUUCGGUGUCUUCUUUUUCUUUUUAAGGAUCAUUUAGAACUUUGAUUCGUUUUUUAAUUAAGUUUCCUACGAUUGUCCAGUGUCAUGGCUUGGUAAUUUAUGUUUUUAGGAAAGUUAUGUCAUUUUGUACUAAAUCAGAUUCGCUGAGUAACAGAUUUGUAUUGUACUUAUGUUUCAUUUAGUAGAAUCAUCGAAAAGUUUUAAACUCGUAGCUCGUCGUAUUAAGUCUGGCAACCGUGUUUAGCUAACUAUAAUUAAAAUUAUAUUAUUUGUUACAAAAUCACAUUUAUCAAAUGAUAAAAACGUAUUUGUCUAUAUUAAUCACGUUUAAUUAAAUGUCUAUAGUAAUUAAAAUGGUAAAAAAAAUUCGAAGUGAUCAUUCGCCAUUUUAUGCUGCCAUAUUAAAUCUGGCAGCCAUGUUUAAUUGCCUUUCAUUGCAACCUUAGCUGCAAUCUAUCGUUAAAUGUUUCAUUAAUAUUAUUUAUUUAAAUUAUAAAACUUUUUGAUUAUAUAUGUGAUUACUUUGAACAACAAAAUUUCAACAUAUUUUUAAUCGAGCUCUUGAUCACUUGACCCACAUACGUUACUAAUCCCUUAGAAAUUUUACUCUCGAAAUGAUACGAAAAUAUAUAUAUUUUUUUCUCUCUCUUUAUAUGCUCUUAUUCAACAUUCAUCUCUUUGUGCGGUUGUUCCUAAUAAAGUGUACGACACUUGGCAAAAGUUUCACAUACACACACCUAUACACACGCGUAUCCUAGCUAUUACAUAUAUGUAUAUUUUUUGCCUUCGAAAGUCUUGUCUUUCACUACGGAAAAAACUUAAAAAGAAAGCAAAUGAAAAGAAACAGAUGUACCAGUUCGUCUUCCAACUUUCUCUUAUCUUUUUAUUUUUAUUUUUAUUUAUUUUUACUACAUCCAACAUUUCCAAAACUUCCAGAUACUUUUUGCAAUCAUUAUCUCAUACUAAACGUGAAACAGAAUUAAAUCAAUUUUUUUCCCCAACAAACGAUUCGUACCUUUUCGUUUCAACAAUUUCAUCAACAUUUUCUAUAAUUUUUCGGAUCAUUUGAACAAGAACGAAAGAAUCACCGGAACAAGAACGAAACAAAAGGGAGUCACGAAGAAGGGAAUCAUUUUCGCUGCAAUGAUUCGAAAUAAAUCUGAACGUAGAUAAAACGAUAGAUAGAUAGAUAGAUAGAUACGAUGAAAUAGUAUCGAAGGGGAGGAGGGUUGAAAGAACGACAGGGGUAGAAGUGCGAGGGGGGUUUAUAUGCGUUACG
rnacentral:lncRNA from 1 species